UGACUCCAUUCUCGUUCCCCACUCUCUCCGCCUCCAUUCUCAAUCUAACCCUAAAUCUCCCAAACUCUAAGCCUCCAACCCGUCGCCUUCAGCCGUGCUCCAGUUAUCCACGCCUCCAGAAAAGGGAACUUGAAAUAAUUGAAGAAAAAUAUUGAAUUGCACUAAUAAUUCCAGAUCUGCCGUCCUCCAUGGCUCCAUGGCUCCAUGCCCUUAGAUUUAAAAAAUUUUGUUAUUCCAAUUUUCCCAAUCCCACAACUGUUCAUUAGCAUUUUCUUGCACAUUCAUAAAUUUUCAGCUUCAUUCUUAAUAACUGAUCAUUUUGUAUUUCAGAUUUUACAAAGUUUAUUCAAACUUGUGAGGAAAAACCGUGGGCAAAAGAUAUGACCAAAGUUCAUCCCUUAGUAUUUGGAAUUUUGAGCAAGAAGAAGUCAAGAAGGCUUGGACUAGAUUUACAUUGUUAUAAUUUGUUGUAAAUUUAUUAGUUAUUUAAUAUUAUCAAACUCUAUUUUUUUUUUAUGUUUUUGCCUAAAA